UACGUAGGGGGCAAGCGUUGUCCGGAAUCAUUGGGUGUAAAGAGCGCGUAGGCGGUCCGGUAAGUCCGCUCUGAAAGUCCGGGGCUCAACCCCGGGAGGCGGGCGGAUACUGUCGGGCUAGAGUCCGGAAGAGGCGAGUGGAAUUCCUGGUGUAGCGGUGAAAUGCGCAGAUAUCAGGAGGAACACCAGCGGCGAAGGCGGCGCUCUGGGCCGGAACUGACGCUGAGGAGCGAAAGCGUGGGUAGCAAACAGG
rnacentral:rRNA from 1 species